GUCGCGACAGAAUGAAAGGUAGUUCGUUGGGUAUACCCGUUGCCCAAAGGUGCUGGUUCGAAUCCGGCUCGUGACA
rnacentral:tRNA from 1 species